GUAUGAAUAUUUAAAUUUACAGCAAAAGAACAAUUAUAUCAUCUAAUAAUGCUUACAGUAUUUAAAAUCUGUCAUUAUGCACAAUCUACUUUUAUAAAUGUUAAAGAACCAUGUGCCAAGCAUAUAUCUAAAACAUUUUUGAAAUUACUCCUUUCUAGCUGUGGCUACACUGACCAAAACAACAACAACAACAACAACAAAACAAAACAAAACAAAAAAAGCUGAAAUACAAAAAAAAAAAAACAAAAAAAGACAUGUAAUCAUCAAGUUCUUUUUUCCCCCUUGUGCUAUUUUUAGCAGAAAUUUCAGCACAACUGGAACCAAGCAGCAGCUUACUUUCGUUUUCACACCAAUGGAAUGCAUGAUGAAAAUCUCAUUUUUAAAAAACAUUAUAGAUAUAGCCUUAAUCAUCUAAUUUUCCAUUCUCAUUCUAACUCAUUAAAAACAGAAUAUUGAGUGAUUUGUUCUCCCUAGCUAAAAACAAAAACAAAAUAACUUUAUAUAACAUAACACAAGUAUCGCAGAAGUGGUCUUUAUCUUAAAGGAUCCUUAAGAAAAGAGCUGCCUGAAUUCACCAGUAUUUCAGAGGGAUUUUUCUUUUAAAACAAAUACAGUGAAAAUUGUCUUUAGAAUUUAUUGACCAAUAUAAAACAAACUGGGCUACACAUAUACACAAAUUAUUUAAAACACAUUGCUGGUGCUCAUUCAACACCAUAAAUUCAUACAAUAGCUGAUAUUUAGUAGCAGUUCGAACAUGGUGUAGUCACAACAGAUGUGUCCAUGUACUAUACAUAAGGGGCUGAUUUCACCUAUUCCAUAUUUUGACAUAUUGGGGAAAAUGGGCAGUGGCGGAAUCCUGAAACACAAGCUGCCUUUAGAGCUAAUUGAGUUUUUGCUGCCCAACUGAACUGGAAAUUUAUUCAAGAUUUGCAGCAGAUAUCAGCCAUGCAGGAUGACAGCUGUAGAUGGUGACACAUCCAUUAAAAAUUUGAAUUUCUAAAAUUCUUCAUAUUUGUGAAAUCAGUACACUUUAUAACUUAAGAAUGCAUACAUGUUUUGCCUCCUCUGAGACUAGAUUUAGCAUCUGUAAAUGAGAUGCAAGUAAAAUGGUUGUGAGCAGAUACGAUCAUCAUUUCUUAAGUGGUGAAACCAUGUGCGGUGGGAGACAGUAUUUUGAGGUUUACCGAACUAAUUCAGAAUAUGAUCCUAACCUCCCACCAAAUUUUUUAAAAAGGUAAAAACAGUUCUGUUUUAGUGUAGUUAUUUUUCUCUCUCUGUACACUUUUUUCCUUUUUAUUAGACUGUUUCUAAGCACCAUGGCAAAAUCAAAUUUAUGGAUUGUGUUUACCAGAGUUUACAGAGCUCCACUGGGAAGCCUAGAAAUCUCUGCUGAUUUCCCUGCAGUCUUUGAAGCUCCAUAACAUAGAACCUAAUCUUCACAGUAAUAGGUGGUCUAAUUCUCUGUGCAAGCUGUAGGCCAAACCUUACUUUUAACCUGAAGAUAAUUAGAAGGAAAAUGAAAGUGAGUAUGUUCCAUUAGUUACUACUGAAAAGGCUUUGCUUCCCUGAAACCCAGUUUGCCAAAUGAUGCUUGGAUGUUCCUGUAAUCAUGCUGUUUCUAGUUUAUUUCUGCUGUAGGUCUUAGUGCUUGUAUUAUUUUAAAGAACUAAUUUUAUUUAAAUGACUAGUAAGAAUUUAAAUAUUUCUAAAGAAUCAAUAUACUAAUCAUAAUUUUUUUUUUUGAGACAGUCUUGAGGCUGAAGUGCAGUGGUGUGAUCCUGGCUCACUGCAGCCUCUGCCUCCCAGGUUCAAGCAAUUCUCUCACAUCAGCCUCCCAAGUAGUUGGAAUUACAGGAACAUAAGCUCCAGGAAAGCCACAGACUAUGGCCACCUACAUCUUGAAGCUCCGUGCCUGCCCUUGGGAGACACUAAAUGGAGUCUUGCUCUGUCGUCAGGCUGGAGUGCACUGGCGUAAUCUGGGCUUACUGCAACCUCCGCCUCCCGGAUUCAAGCGAUUCUCCUGCCUCAGCCUCCCGAGUGGCUGGGACUACAGGCAUGCGCCACCAUGCCGGCCUAAUGUUUUGUAUUUUAGUAGAGACGGGGUUUCACUAUGUUGGCCAGGAUGGUCUCAAUCUCCCGACCUCAUGAUCCACCUGCCUCGGCCUCCCAAAGUGCUGGGAUUACAGGUGUGAGCCGCCAUGCCCAGCCUCAUGAGGGUUAUUAAGCACAUAAUUAUAGAAUGUGUUUUCUUCUUUUAACUACGAUAAGCAUUGUUCAGUAUUCUGUGGGUUUUUCUUUCUCCUUGCAAUGUCAACAGAAUACAUAAUGAGAAAGGUCAUGUCAGGGUCUUUUUGUUUCUCAAAGAUAUCUGAUGAAAUCUGAGGAAGUCAGCUUUACAAAUAACAUAAACUCUGGAGCUCCGUAAGCUGAACGAGUUAGUCUUGGAAGAGUUGCCUCUGCAGCAUUGCUACUCAGAACUUCUAUGAAAACCACAAGAAGUGGUGAGAGGAAGCGGCAAAAUCAAUGACAGAACACAAAUACCCUCUUCUGCCAACCGCUUAAAAGGAAAUUAUGGGGGGCUGGGUCGGUGGUUCGGUGGCUCACGCCUGUAAUCCCAACACUUUGGGAGGCUAAGGCGAGAGGAUUGCUUGAGCCCAGGAGUUUGAGACCAGCCAGGGAAACAUACAGAGAUGUCAGCUCUACAAACGAUAAUAAAAAGAAAAUUAUCCAAGCAUGGUGGUACACGCCUGUUGUCCCCACUACUUGGGAGGCUGAGUGGGAGAGGCUGAGGUUGGCAGAUUGCUUGAGCCAUGAUCACACCACUGCACUCAGUCUGGGUGACAGAGCAAGACCCAGUCUCAAAACAACAACAACAACAACAACAAAACCCAGAAAAUUCUUCACAAAGGUUAUACAUUUUCUCAAUAAUAUACAAAUUUGAGAAAUGUGAAGUACAUUUAAUUGAAUUAUGUAAAAUAUAACACAGACUUCAUAUAUUCAAUUCACAAAUAAAUUUUCUAGGUUCUUUACUUUUUCAUGUUCAUAUGUUUUUUAUGAAGAACAUAUGGUCACCUAAGAAGAAUAAAAUAAAAACCCAUCAAACAGAAAUAUUCAUAUCCUCCCCAAACCGUAUUAUCUUAAACACAAUUACAAACUUAUUUAAUUACACAAGUGAGAAUCUUAAGCUGAGAGAAGAAAAUUUCUAGAGAAAUUUCUUUUGUUCAUUAUAGGAUUAUUUCAAUACUGAAGGAUAGUCUUCGACAUUAGAAUUGCUUCCUUUUAAAGUGUACAAAUGCCAGUGUAAAAGGAAACAUCAUAACAUCCAUUUCAGCCUUAAUUUUCUAAUGGCUCAGGCCGUUUUUAUACAGUGUAUUCUUCUCCAGUGUCUUAAGAUAGUUUGGAAACAGUACCUGUUGAACCUUUCAGAGAGCAGUCUACCAUAUAUCCCUUGAUCCUCAAUUUCUAAUUUAGAUUCAUUUGUGGUUGUUACAGUUAUAAGUAACGUACAUUUAAGAAAGAUAUAUCUGUAGAACAGUUUCUGCACUUAUAUGUGUAUAUAAAUUAUAUGUCUGCUAAAUUUUUUUUGGCCUUUGUACUUGAAAAAAAAUUAACAGAUGUUAAAAUAUUUGGCUCACAAGCAAUGUUAAAAACAAUCUGUAGAUAAUGCUUCCUUAUUUUUCUUGGAUUAAUGUAAAAUCAGGAUUAAUUUGCUUUGUGUACCUGGGAAAUAAUCUCGUUUGUAUGCUUGUUUCUAGGAUGUCUUUUACUCUUCAUAAUAAUAAAAAAGUCAGUGCAUGUCAGUAUAUACAUAUCCUUCUUGAUUUUAUCUGGAAAUUAUUAGGUUUGAUCUCAAUUAUUUAUCAUUUAUAUCCAUUAGCUUUUUAACCCAUAAUUGUCAUUAUUAAAAUUUUUUUCAUGUUUACUACUGUGAAAGGUUCAUGGAAUUCACUUUGGGUAUACUGAAAACAUUAUAUGUGAAAUACUUUGCAGAGAUUCUAGCACACAGACAAAAUUCAGUAGCUGAUAUUUAGAGUUAUUAUUCCCAGUCUUGGAGUUAAUCCCAAAUUGAGGAUUUCUUCCCAAUACUGCCAAGAAAUUUUAGUAUAAGGGUCCAGCAAUGUUUGCUCUUGCCUGUCUGUGCUGACCCUUGGCCACUACACAAGUCCCGAGAGAGAGUUUAUAAUACCUGAUGACAGAUGUUUCUGAUAAUUUCAGCAUUGUAUUAUGACCCUCUAGAUUAACUACUUAUGAGUUCCUUUAUGACUUUGGGGACAAUCUCCAAAUCUCAUGCUGUAUUUCCUAGGAAGCAGCUAUUCCCUAUAGCUGUUGCUUGUUUUUCCAUCUCACUACUCCACAGACACUCUCAGUUAGUAUGUGUAAGGCCCAGCCUGUCCUUGCUGUGGUUGAAACCUUUAUGCCUGACUAUGUGAGUUAAAAUAUUUCUAACCUGCACACCAAUGAAGCACUUUACCUUAAACUAUCACAUAUACUGAUAACUACACGAUACAAGAUUGAUUCAUUCAUUAAUAAAAUCUCAUUGUACAUUCUCUUAAAAUAAUGGAAACUAUUCUUCUUCCUUUUCUAAUUAUCUCUCAAAUUGCUUUAUCAUCGGUUACCAAUAGUUAGUAAAGCAGAACUGUGUUACAUGAACCAUAGAUUUAGCAUAUGUUUCCAUUUGUUCCAGUGGCAGCCUGACUUUAAUGACAAUUAAUUGGUUCAAAGUCUAAUCACUUUGAUUAAGCUGACUAGAAGCAGGGAAAAACAAUCAAUUUCUGUGCCUUUCCUUCCAUUAUAAAAGAGGAAACAGGGAGAAAGUUAACAUUAAUUGAACACUACCUUUUUUAAAAAAUGUGUUCUAUGCUUCGUAUAUAUUACAUUAAAUAAAUUUGCUCUAUUCUUCUAUUGUGCAAUUACAUUUAUAUUUCUAUGAAUGUAUACCAACUUACAGUACUGCAAAAUGUAACAUGUAGAGCUCUUUGUAUGAAUCCUAUGGAUUUAGUAAUUUAUAGUGUUUUUAAAAUUCUGUUUCACACUUAAUGUUCAUGUUGUCUCAACUGUAAAAUUAUGAGCUAUCUAGUAUCACAUAUAUUCUCAUGUAGUCCUUCAGUCAAGCUAGGUCUACAAACAACCACUAAAAUGGCCAUUUUUGAGUCAACUCUUUUAAUCUCAGCUAUCUUAUAAGACGGUGAUAAUGAUACAGGUGAUGAUGUCUAUGCUCCAUUUUAUGGACCUUGUUGAUUAUUAUGCCUUAAUCCCAGCAGUUUGGGAGGCCCAGGCGCAUGGAUCACGAGGUCAGGAGAUUGAGACCAUCCUGGCUAACACGGUGAAACCCCGUCUCUACUAAAAAUACAAAAAAUUAGCAGGGUGUGGUGGUGGGCGCCUGUAGUUCCAGCUACUCUGGAGGCUGAGGCAGGAGAAUGGCGUGAGCCCGGGAGGCGGAAUUUGCAGUGAGCGGAGAUCACACCACUGCACUCCAGCCUGGGCUACAGAGCGAGACUCCUCUAAAAAAAACAAACAAACCAACAAACUAAUCACUGUAAUAACUCAGUUUUUAUUGUUUACUGUUGUAUUAGUUCACUAGGGCUGUCAUAACAAAGUACUAUGGACUGGGUGGCCUAAGCAACAGAAAUUUAUUUCCUGACAGGUUUGGAGGCUGGAAGUCCAAGAUCAAGAUCUUAGUAGAGUUGGUUUCUGCUGAGGCCACUCUCUUUGGCUUGUAAGAGGGAUCUUCUCCAUGUGUCUUCACACGGUCUUCCUUCUCUGUUUGCAUGUGUCCUAAUCUCCUCUUUUUAUAAAAACACCAGUUACAUUAGAUUAGGGCACCCUAAUGAUGCCAAAAUUCUUUAAAGACUCAUCUCUAAUAUGGUUACAUUCUAAGGAACUGGGGGUUAAGACUUCAACAUAUGAAUUUCUAGAAGAGCACAAUUCAGGCCACAACACCACUAACCCUUUACAAUGUAUUGGAGUAGAUAACAUAUCUUUCCUUAUUCCUAAAUGAAAAACAUGGUGUACAUGAAUUUUUUUUUUUUUUUGGCUAACCUGUUUAGAUCACCUUGGGAUUCAAUUCAGAAAUUAGAAUAUACUGUUUAGUAGUACUAAUCAAAACUCUAAAUGUAAUGUAAUAUCAAAUAAUUCCCCCUUCUUCACAUUGGGCCUAAUUUAUGUUGGCAGCCUGCAGAGGCAAAGGCUUUUUCUGUUUUACGACUUAAGCUUUUUUUUUAUUCCUCACUGUUCCUACCCACUCCUAAAUUCACCCAGUCUGCUAAUCAAUUUAUUUUUUAUUUUUUAUUUUUUUAUUCUUCCAGAGUGGCAAAGCUGUAAGAGAGGUCUUACUUGAACUGGUUUGUAUAACUCCUUCCUGUUCUCUGGCCUGCCAGAGAUUUAAAGCUCCCUGUCCUGAGACCAUUUGGAUUUUCUUAGAGAUUCCCAUCUCUGAGCACCUCUUAACUGAAGUGCAAAGAGAGAGGACAAUGCAUAUUUUAUAAGUGAGCCACUUUUUGUGAAAACUCUGGGAGGCAGGCUAACCUUAGGCAGUGCAGUCAGCUCCCUGUAUUCAGUUGUCACAAGCCAGCCUUAUCAUGUGUGAGUCAGGCCACAGCCUGCCAUAUUCUCAAGUACCAGAAGCAUAUACCAAGCUCUCCAACUGGCAUCCUGCAUAAUUUGCAGGUCCCAGUGCAAAAUGAAAAUGCAGAACUUAUUUUUAUAAAAUUACCAAGAAUUCCAAGAUUGUAGGGAUCUGUGUGAUUGCAUGGGUUGCAAGCUCAAGAACUUCCUGGCCUUGAAUCCUCCUCUUACUGGAAGCUAGAAUCCCAGCCCAUCUCCUCUAGAGGGAGGGCAACUAAUCUCUCCAGGCAAAAUCUUGUAAUCUUCUUCAUAUUCUGAUACUUUCCAUUAUGGGUUGAACUGUGGCUCCCCAGAUGAUAUAUUGAAGUACUAACCACCAGUACCAAAAAAUGUGCACACUUAUGGAGAUAGUCCUCAUGAUGAAGUCAUACUGGAGUAAGAUGGGCCCUUAAUCUAAAAGGACUGGCGUCCUUAUAAGAGAAUAGAGACAGAGAAAAGACAGCCAUGUGAUGAUGGAAGUAGAGACUGGAAUGAUGCAUCUACAAGCCAUGGGACACCAAGGAUUGUUGGCAAACACCGGAAGCUAGAAGAGGAAAAAGAUGAUUCUCCCUUAGGUUUCAGAGGGAGUAUGGCACUUCUGACACCUUGAUUUCAGACUUCUAGCCUCCAGAACUAUAAGACAAUAAAUUUCUAUUAAGCAAUUUACUAGGUUUCUAUUAAGCAACCUAGUUUGCAGUAAUUUGAUACAACAGCUCCAGCAAACCAACAUACCUCCUUUUCCUCCUCAUGCUGGUUGAAGUGUCUAAAGUCACGAAAUCAGAUUUCCAAAGUGUCUUUGCAAAUUUUGCACAGGAAAAUCUGAUUUUAGAUUGUCAUUGCAAAUUUUGCAUAGGGAAAUCUGAUUUUACAUUUCACAUUUAUUGUAUCUUGGUAUCUGGGCUGAAAUUUUAACAUCCAGUUAUACUUUCCAAUAGUAUAAAAUCAACCAUUUUCAAAAUACUUUUAUAUUAUAGCUGUAUCUUCAUAAAGGUGUUUUAUAAUGUGACUAGGUGAUUUCCUGAUUUUAUGUAUACUUUAUUGAAGUCGUAAUGAUUUCUGCUUCUGAAUUUAUAUUGUAAUCAAAUGAGUACUAUCUAUAAUGGAUGAUACUACAUAUAAAGCCAAUUCAAAUCUCAAUUCCUUUUAAUCUCUGUAUUUUUCUUUUCAUAGAUGAUGUUUUAGUCCGUUCUCACACUGCUAUAAGGACAUACCUAAGACUGGGUAAUUUAUAAAGGAAAGAGGUUUAAUGGACUCACAGUUCCACAUAGCUGGGGAGGCUCACAAUUGUGGUGGAAGGUGAAGGAGGAGCAAAGGCACAUCCCACAUGGUGGCAGGCAAGAGAGCGUGUGCAGGGAAACUGCCCUUUAUAAAACCAUCAGCUCUCGUGAGACUUAUUCACUAUCAUGAGAACAACAUGGGAAAAACCUGCCCCCAUGAUUCAAUUAUCUCCCACCAGGUCCCUCUCAUGACACGUGGGGAUUAUGGGAGCUACAAUUCAAGAUGAGAUUUUGGUGGAGACACAGCCAAAUCAUAUCAGAUG
rnacentral:tRNA from 10 species